rnacentral:lncRNA from 1 species
GAAACACCAAAUAAAUAGUCAAGAAAAUUAUGGAAGGUUGGAAAUAAAAUAAGAAGCAUAAAAUAAUUUUUUCAGAAUUUAAAAAUGCCUAAAAGUAUUUUUAAACCAAUUAAAACAAAGGAAAAAAUAGAAAAUUCAAGAAAAAUAGAAAAUCAAGAAAAUAAAAUGUGAAAAAAUAAAAAUCAGAUGAAGAAAAAUAAAAGAAAAUUUUAGAAAUUAUUUUGGGAUUUUUUGGAUGAAAGAUGAAUUUAUUAUGAAUUUUCAAAGAAAAUGCAAUUAAAA